rnacentral:rRNA from 1 species
AUUGAACGCUGGCGGCAUGCUUUACACAUGCAAGUCGAACGGUAACAGGGUGCUUGCACCGCUGACGAGUGGCGAACGGGUGAGUAAUGCGUCGGAACGUGCCGAGUAGUGGGGGGUAACGCAGCGAAAGUUGUGCUAAUACCGCAUACGUACUGAGGUAGAAAGUGGGGGACCUUCGGGCCUCACGCUAUUCGAGCGGCCGACGUCUGAUUAGCUAGUAGGUGAGGUAAAGGCUCACCUAGGCGACGGUCAGUAGCGGGUCUGAGAGGAUGAUCCGCCACACUGGGACGGAGACACGGCCCAGACUCCUACGGGAGGCAGCAGUGGGGAAUUUUGGACAAUGGGCGAAAGCCUGAUCCAGCCAUGCCGCGUGUCUGAAGAAGGCCUUCGGGUUGUAAAGGACUUUUGCCAGGGAGGAAAUCCCUAGUGCUAAUAACACUGGGGGAUGACAGUACCUGAAGAAUAAGCACCGGCUAACUACGUGCCAGCCGCCGCCGUAA